rnacentral:tRNA from 2 species
GCUGGCGUAGCUCAACGGUAGAGCAACUGAUUUGUAAUCAGUAGGUUGGAGGUUCAAAUCCUCUCGCCAGCU